AGACGCCCUGGUUCAGACGCCUCUGACAGAUGCUCCAAGAUGAUGUGAAGAUACAAGUGCCCUUCUUGUCUCAUGGACUCAAUCAGGAGAUAUGAAGAUUGACAACUGAUUGGCAAAAGUGAAGUCACUGUGUGACCUGUCCUGAAAAGAUGGUGGCUGCAUCUAGAAACAGUGACGUGUUUGGGGAACAAUGGAGUAGAGUCAGAGACGCACCUACUAAGACAUUUUGGCUGCUGGGCACCUGAACAUGAGCAAUGUGAAGCUUCCGGUGCG
rnacentral:lncRNA from 1 species